UUUGGCUUUUUUUAUAACCUAAAGAGAACGUUUCUAGAACGUUCCCUGCAGGUUAUUUUUGGUUAACUGAGUUGCUGCAGAAAUUCAUAAGACAUACAAUGUAAGCGAUUUGAAAUUACAAUAAACUGAUAAAACACGCUAAAAAUGUAACCUUUCAUAGCAGCUGAAAACAAACCAAAUUUGAAAGUGAAGUGACAUUCAGCCAAGUAUGGUGACCCAUACUCAGAUUGUGCUCUGCAUUUAACCCAUCCGAAAUGCACACACGCAGUGAACACACACACACACACACUGUGAGCACACAGCCGAUUUUGUAAUGAGCUAAUCGGGGAUUGAGUGUUACUGUAAAUUCUGCGUGUUUUAAUGAGCGCGCGCUGAACAUUGGAGCGCGUUCAUUCAGAUUCAAACACUGGAGCGGAGGGAGUUGGCAUGGAAACGGGCGGUCGACAACACUGGCAAGCUGCACGCUCCGUGUCUCGCUGCUGUUUUCACUGAUUUCGCAUCUGUUGAAUUUACUUCAUAGAAAUGGUUAAGUGUUUUCGAACAAGUCCGUGAGCAUCUGAACCUUUAUCAGAGGAGUGCUUGAUGAUCUUCUGCAUCCCAUGAUGAGCAAACCUCCUGUCCAACAACAUCUCCAAGGCACACUGAUCCAUAUGACUAGCAGGAUUACCCCAAACAUACACUAAUGCUAUCCUUACCAAUUUCUGAAAUAAUAUUACAAUUUAAAAUAGCAGUUUUUGGUGAAAUGUAACUUAUUCCUGUGAUGUGCAGCUGUAUUUUCAGCAUCAUUCCUCCAGUCUUCAGUGUCACAUGAUCUUCAGAAAUCAUUUUAAUAUGAUGAUUUACUGCUCAAGAAACAUUUCUGAUUAUUAUCAAUGUUGAAAACAGUUGUGCUGCUCAAUAUAUAUAUAUGAGAGAGAGAGAGAGAGAAUUCUUUGCUAAUAGAAAAUUCUUCUUGACACUAACUUUUGAUUAAUUUAAUGUGUCCAUGCUGAAUAAAAAUAUGAAUUUUUUUUAAAAAUGUAGUCUACAUUACCAUUUAGAAGUCUGGGGUCUAUAUAACAAUCAAGCUUUAAAAUAAAUAAAUAAACUCUAUGCUGUUAUAAACAGUUUACACAAAUAUAAAACAGCGCUGUUUUUUUAACAUUCAUAUUUAUCAGAAGUGUUUAUUUGGCAAAGAGCAGCAUAUUAUAAUGAUUUCUGGAGGAUCAUAUGACACUUAAGACUGAAGUAAUGAUGCUGAAAAAUCAGCUUUGAUCAUAGCAAUCAACUGACCCUUCGCAAAACAAGCGUCCCUCCUUAAAUACUGUAGCUAUGUCUGACAAGCCAUGCUGCUCUCACAGUACACACCUUGUUCUUCUUUGUGGACCAAAGAGGAAACUGACAACACACAGACAGAAGAAGACAGAGAAGGUCACUUCUGAUCCAUCAAAGUCCUCAUCUUCUGUGUCUGAGUUGAACAGCUGGGCAACAGCUUUUGAACAGCUUUCUUCAUCAAACAUGCCGGGUUCCCUCUCAUCAUGGUUGAUCGCUGCCAGCGUACGUAGUGUACGUAUUAUGUCCCUGUGUCAGCGGGAAAUGGUCCGACAGUCAGAUGACUGUUGUGAAGAUGGAAGAGUGCAGGAUCUACAAUUACACUAAUAAUACAAUUUUUGAAGUAGUUUGAUUUUGUUUCGCUUUCUGCCAUGUUUUGAAUGUGAUGCUCAGCCUACAACCCAAUGAUUGUGUUUGUAUUAUUAUUUUUUUAAUCAACAAUUAAAAAAUGACAAAAC